UGCCUGGUGAUCUUGGCUCCGUUCAGUGAAAUUAUUCUUUCCGAGGGUGGGGAGAGAAGGAGAGCUAAAGGGCCUCUGCUCCCCUGUGGCAGAAGUGUUAGUAGCCACUGAGCAGGGCCUGCAGGCUCAGGGAGGUGUGUUAGCCAGAUCUAUGACAUUCAUUGACCAGUUAGUGGUUUUUUUUCCUAGGGGAGCACAAACGUGUUAACACGAUCAGGAAGGUUUAAUCUCCAGACUAACUAGUCCUCAAAAAAGGCUUAGUGCAUCCUCAGCACAAUGUAGCACUUAAUGGCACGUAUGUAAUUAUGUUUUAUAAAGAUUUUAUAAGAAUGGUCUAAAUAAUAUUAAUGACGUGUGAAUAUAGGUGGCAAGACUAGAUUUAUGUUUCAGGCAAUUACAUUUUACAAGCUGAAGUAGAGAACAGAGGAGAAGAUAUUUCUCAUGCUGAGCUACAGGAAGUUGAUGCUGAAAUGCAAUAACAGCAGAUGUUACUGGGAUGCAGUCAUAAAAUGGAGGCAAACGGGCUCUUUGUGACCAGCUCAGGCCACAGCACCGGCGUAUUUCCAGAUGGUGCAGAUGCUAUUUAUAAAGCAUUGCGCAGGGGAUCUGUUACGGGGUGCUUUACAGCCACACUUUGCAGAAGGACACGUCUGCUGUCUCAUCCAUUGAGAAAGACUCUUCCAGAGCAAAAGAGCCACAGGUCAGUGCUGCUGCUCUCAGGGGCAUGCGGUAAGAUAUCCUGUGACUGUAGCGAGGACAAAGGGAGUUGUAAAGAGCAGUUAGGAGAAAAAGCCUCCCUGAUCUGCCCAGUGUCCUGCUUCUCUCUUCGGGAUGGAAUGACAAGUUUCUGUCUGGAUUUUCUCUAG
rnacentral:lncRNA from 1 species